AACGAACGCUGGCGGCAUGCCUAACACAUGCAAGUCGAACGAGACCUUCGGGACUAGUGGCGUACGGGUGCGUAACGCGUGGGAACCUGCCCUUAGGUUCGGAAUAACUCCCCGAAAGGGGUGCUAAUACCGGAUUAUGUCUUCGGACCAAAGAUUUAUCGCCUUUGGAUGGGCCCGCGUUGGAUUAGCUAGUUGGUAGGGUAAAAGCCUACCAAGGCGACGAUCCAUAGCUGGUCUGAGAGGAUGAUCCGCCACACUGGGACUGAGACACGGCCCAGACUCCUACGGGAAGCAGCAGUGGGGAAUAUUGGACAAUGGGCGAAAGCCUGAUCCAGCAAUGCCGCGUGAGUGAUGAAGGCCUUAGGGUUGUAAAGCUCUUUUACCCGGGAUGAUAAUGACAGUACCGGGAGAAUAAGCUACGGCUAACUCCGUG
rnacentral:rRNA from 1 species